AGUCGAGCGGCAGCACAGCAGUAGCAUACUGUGGGUGGCGAGCGGCGGACGGGUGAGGAAUACAUCGGAAUCUACCCUUCUUGUGGGGGAUAACGUAGGGAAACUUACGCUAAUACCGCAUAAGACCUGAGUGUGAAAGCGGGGGACCGCAAGGCCUCGCGCGAGAAGAUGAGCCGAUGUCGGAUUAGCUAGUUGGUGAGGUAAAGGCUCACCAAGGCGACGAUCCGUAGCUGGUCUGAGAGGAUGAUCAGCCACACUGGAACUGAGACACGGUCCAGACUCCUACGGGAGGCAGCAGUGGGGAAUAUUGGACAAUGGGCGCAAGCCUGAUCCAGCCAUGCCGCGUGUGUGAAGAAGGCCUUCGGGUUGUAAAGCACUUUUGUUGGGGAAGAAAAGAUUCGGGUUAAUAACCCGGGUUCAUGACGGUACCCAAAGAAUAAGCACCGGCUAACUUCGUGCCAGCAGCCGCGGUAAUACGAAGGGUGCAAGCGUUACUCGGAAUUACUGGGCGUAAAGCGUGCGUAGGCGGUUUGUUAAGUCUGUCGUGAAAGCUCCGGGCUCAACCUGGGAGUGGCGGUGGAUACUGGCAGGCUAGAGUACGGUAGAGGAUGGUGGAAUUCCCGGUGUAGCAGUGAAAUGCGUAGAGAUCGGGAGGAACAUCUAUGGCGAAGGCAGCCAUCUG
rnacentral:rRNA from 1 species